UACGUAGGGGGCAAGCGUUGUCCGGAAUCAUUGGGCGUAAAGCGCGUGUAGGCGGCUUGGUAAGUCUGCUCUGAAAGCCCGGGGCUCAACCCCGGGAGGCGGGUGGAUACUGUCAAGCUCGAGUCCGGAAGAGGAGUGUGGAAUUCCUGGUGUAGCGGUGAAAUGCGCAGAUAUCAGGAGGAACACCAAUGGCGAAGGCAGCACUCUGGGACGUGACUGACGCUGAGACGC
rnacentral:rRNA from 1 species